rnacentral:lncRNA from 1 species
CAAGCCCUCAUGCUCAACCCGAGUGAUCCUUGUCACCAAGUCAAGCUAAUGACUUAAACCAAGUGCUUGGUGGGACGCAACCCACUGGCAAGUGUAAAUAUAACUUGGUUUUGUUUUUGUUUGCUUAUUUUUCGUUUUAGUUUAUUGAGUCUCAGGUCAAAAAGCAUAAAAAUCUGUGAUGCUUAAAAAUUUUGGGUUGCUGAAGGAGCGACUGCUCCAUGCGGAGAUCUUGCGAUGGAACACCCAGUAUUUUCGUGGAGCGCCCGCUCCACACAGGUAAGUAUCUCACACAAAAAAAUGUUUAUUCUUGUUUUCACCUUCUCUCUGAUUUAUUUUCAUUCGAGACGAGGUUGUGAAGUAAGUCUGGGGAGUGUUUUCGUCGUUUACUAACUCGUUUCUUUUUUUUUUUGUUUUUCUUUUGGGUCAGUUUGAGUAAGGCUUUUGGAUUGAGUCAGUCAAAACUUUGUGGGAAUUAGGACCUUAUUCCGUGUUGAUCACUAACCACCUCGUGCUUUAGUUAUCUUAUUCAGUGACCUUAGCAGUGACAAAAGACACACAUGUCGACCUGGAACACCCUAACAUAUCUCACUUGAUUCUCCAGAAGUUUUCACCCGAUCAGGUUACACUGGGUUGACUUAACUCCACCAAACUUGAACCAAAUCUUGACUGAAAUUCUUCUUGUUAUGGACAUUAGAUCAGGGAAACGAGAACACACUCAGGACUUCUUAUCGUUUUUAUCCAUCUUGCUGAUCCUGAGUGGCUAGCUCAUCUUUAGCUAGUUCCCACCCUCCACCUUAGCCUUUAUUCCACCUUCAUGCAUUUGUUUUUCAGUGUCAUAUGUGCAGAUAUGUGCAAAAAGGUCGGAGAGGAAAG